GCACGGGUGCUUGCACCUGGUGGCGAGUGGCGAACGGGUGAGUAAUACAUCGGAACAUGUCCUGUAGUGGGGGAUAGCCCGGCGAAAGCCGGAUUAAUACCGCAUACGAUCUACGGAUGAAAGCGGGGGACCUUCGGGCCUCGCGCUAUAGGGUUGCCCGAUGGCUGAUUAGCUUGUUGGCGGGGUAAAGGCCUAACAGGGCUAGCAUAA
rnacentral:rRNA from 1 species